rnacentral:rRNA from 1 species
AACGAACGCUGGCGGCAUGCCUAACACAUGCAAGUCGAACGAGACCUUCGGGUCUAGUGGCGCACGGGUGCGUAACGCGUGGGAACCUGCCCUUAGGUUCGGAAUAACUCCCCGAAAGGGGUGCUAAUACCGGAUAAUGUCUUCGGACCAAAGAUUUAUCGCCUUUGGAUGGGCCCGCGUUGGAUUAGCUAGUUGGUAGGGUAAAAGCCUACCAAGGCGACGAUCCAUAGCUGGUCUGAGAGGAUGAUCAGCCACACUGGGACUGAGACACGGCCCAGACUCCUACGGGAAGCAGCAGUGGGGAAUAUUAGACAAUGGGCGAAAGCCUGAUCCAGCAAUGCCGCGUGAGUGAUGAAGGCCUUAGGGUUGUAAAGCUCUUUUACCCGGGAUGAUAAUGACAGUACCGGGAGAAUAAGCUCCGGCUAACUCCGUG